AUGCUUAUUGGGAGUCGCACUGUUGCUGAAUUCCAAGAUCCACACCACAGCCAUCCAUUAUUACUUCUCUUUUAUUUUAUUAUUCAAACUUCAUUUUCCCUUUUCCCUUUCUCUGCUUCCCUAUUGCUCAACUUGCCCUUUAAUCGCAAAGUUGCUGCUACUACGCCUGCAUAUGCAAAAAGCCUCUUCAAUUUUGAGCUAAAGUUUGGAUUUUUAAGAGUUUUUGAUUGUGGGGUUCUUCUUAUUUCAUCUGGGUCAUCAGCAAAUUUGUUUUAUCAGCUAUGGUUGUUUGAAUAG